rnacentral:rRNA from 1 species
AUUGAACGCUGGCGGCAGGCCUAACACAUGCAAGUCGAACGGUAACAGGAAGCAGCUUGCUGCUUCGCUGACGAGUGGCGGACGGGUGAGUAAUGUCUGGGAAGCUGCCUGAUGGAGGGGGAUAACUACUGGAAACGGUAGCUAAUACCGCAUAAUGUCGCAAGACCAAAGAGGGGGCCCUUCGUGCCUCUUGCCAUCGGAUGUGCCCAGAUGGGGUUAGCUUGGUGGUGGUGUAACGGCUCAACAAGGCGACGAUCCUAAGCUGGUCUGAGAGGAUGACUCGGUAGACUGGAAGUGAGAAAGGGUCGAGACACCUACGGGAGGACGCAGUGGGGACUCUUGCACAAUGGGCGAAAGGCUGAUGCAGCCAAGCCGGGUGUAGGCAGACGGCCUUCGGGUUGUAAAGUACUUUAAGCGGGGAGGAAGGGAGUAACUUUAAUACCUUAGCUCAUUGACGUUACCCGCAGAAGAAGCACCGGCUAACUCCGUG